CAGCCGCCGCGGGAAUACGGGGGGGGCAAGUGUUAUUCGGAAUGACUGGGCGUAAAGGGCACGUAGGCGGUGAAAAGGGUGGAAAGUGAAAGUCGCCAAAACACUGGCGGGGUGCUUUCUUGACCAUUUCACUUGAGUGAGAUAGGGGAGAGUGGAAUUUCGUGUGGAGGGAUCAAAUCCUAAGAUAUACGAAGGAACGCCAACCGCGAAGGCAGCUCUCUGGGUCCCCACUGACGCUGGGGUGCGAAAGCAUGGGGAGCAAACAGGAUCAGAUACCCCCGUAGUCCCUGUCUCUUAUACA
rnacentral:rRNA from 1 species